UAGGGAAUCUUCGGCAAUGGGGGCAACCCUGACCGAGCAACGCCGCGUGAGUGAAGAAGGUUUUCGGAUCGUAAAGCUCUGUUGUAAGAGAAGAACGUGUGUGAGAGUGGAAAGUUCACACAGUGACGGUAACUUACCAGAAAGGGACGGCUAACUACGUGCCAGCAGCCGCGGUAAUACGUAGGUCCCGAGCGUUGUCCGGAUUUAUUGGGCGUAAAGCGAGCGCAGGCGGUUUAAUAAGUCUGAAGUUAAAGGCAGUGGCUUAACCAUUGGUCGAUUUGGAAACUGUUAAACUUGAGUGCAGAAGGGGAGAGUGGAAUUCCAUGUGUAGCGGUGAAAUGCGUAGAUAUAUGGAGGAACACCGGUGGCGAAAGCGGCUCUCUGGUCUGUAACUGACGCUGAGGCUCGAAAGCGUGGGGAGCAAACAGG
rnacentral:rRNA from 1 species